AUUGGACGCUGGCGGCAGGCCUAACACAUGCAAGUCGAGCGGCAGCGGGAAAGUAGCUUGCUACUUUUGCCGGCGAGCGGCGGACGGGUGAGUAAUGCCUGGGAAAUUGCCCAGUCGAGGGGGGUAACAGUUGGAAACGACUGCUAAUACCGCAUACGCCCUACGGGGGAAAGCAGGGGACCUUCGGGCCUUGCGCGAGUGGAUAUGCCAAGGUGGGAUUAGCUAGUUGGUGAGGUAAUGGCUCACCAAGGCGACGAGCCCUAGCUGGUCUGAGAGGAUGAUCAGCCACACUGGAACUGAGACACGGUCCAGACUCCUACGGGAGGCAGCAGUGGGGAAUAUUGCACAAUGGGGGAAACCCUGAUGCAGCCAUGCCGCGUGUGUGAAGAAGGCCUUCGGGUUGUAAAGCACUUUCAGCGAGGAGGAAAGGCCAGUAGCUAAUAUCUGCUGGCUGUGACGUUACUCGCAGAAGAAGCACCGGCUAACUCCGUGCCAGCCGCCGCCGUAAUAC
rnacentral:rRNA from 1 species